UACGUAGGGUCCGAGCGUUGUCCGGAAUUAUUGGGCGUAAAGAGCUCGUAGGCGGUCUGUCGCGUCGGCUGUGAAAACCUGGGGCUCAACUCCAGGCCUGCAGUCGAUACGGGCAGACUAGAGUUCGGUAGGGGAGACUGGAAUUCCUGGUGUAGCGGUGAAAUGCGCAGAUAUCAGGAGGAACACCGGUGGCGAAGGCGGGUCUCUGGGCCGAAACUGACGCUGAGGAGCGAAAGCGUGGGGAGCGGACAGG
rnacentral:rRNA from 1 species